rnacentral:tRNA from 1 species
GGUNAGCUCAGUGGUAGAAUGCUUGCCUAACAUGUACAAGGUCCUGGGUUCAAUCCCCAGUACCG